GACGAACGCUGGCGGCGUGCUUAACACAUGCAAGUCGAACGGAAAGGCCCUGCUUUUGUGGGGUGCUCGAGUGGCGAACGGGUGAGUAACACGUGAGUAACCUGCCCUUGACUUUGGGAUAACUUCAGGAAACUGGGCCAAUUCCGGGUAGGGGCCCCCGCCGCAUGGGGGGGGUUGGAAAGUUUCGGCGGUUGGGGAUGGACUCGCGGCUUAUCAGCUUGUUGGUGGGGUAGUGGCUUACCAAGGCUUUGACGGGUAGCCGGCCUGAGAGGGUGACCGGCCACAUUGGGACUGAGAUACGGCCCAGACUCCUACGGGAGGCAGCAGUGGGGAAUAUUGCACAAUGGGCGGAAGCCUGAUGCAGCAACGCCGCGUGCGGGAUGACGGCCUUCGGGUUGUAAACCGCUUUCGCCUGUGACGAAGCGUGAGUGACGGUAAUGGGUAAAGAAGCACCGGCUAACUACGUG
rnacentral:rRNA from 1 species